rnacentral:pre_miRNA from 1 species
UGCUCCGCACAGUUAUUGUGCUCCGCACAGUUUGUGUGCUCCGCACAGUUUAACUGUGCGGAGCACACAAACUGUGCGGAGCA